rnacentral:lncRNA from 1 species
AGCCAGCUGCAGCAGCUGCUGGGGAAAGGCGGUGAGCUGGUUGUGGUCCACGUCAAGGGUCCGUAGGUGGUUGAGGCAGGAGAAGGAAUCUGGCAGAUGCGCUAGCCGGUUGAAGCUGACAUCCAGCUCCUCCAGUUAAGAUUGGCCACAAACUCAAGCUGAACGUUCCUGUCCCUACACAUCUUUCCUGUAUUCCAUCUUCAGCAUUCUUAACUCUCUUCCAUCUUGACAGAUCUUUGACUCACACCCAGGCUGAAGUCUCACUGCCAUCCAUGUGACCUUGUCCCUCUCCAUGAUCUCCACCCCAAUCAUGUCAUCAAAGGGCCUUACCCUCUUAAAGGGCGCUUCACCAUUUCCUCCCCUGUGAAUAUGCAUUGAGAUGGGAAACUUCCUUGGGAAGGCUGGCUUCUUCCUGGUCUCUAAGUUCCAGAAAACACUGUGUCCCAGAAAAGCCAUUCCUUCGCUUGGCCCAACUGCUUUAGACUCUCAAAAUAGUUCUGAUUUCAUUCACUCAGCUGCUCUGGGGUUCAGGAGUGAAGAUACCCAUGGCUGGAAGUUUUAACUAACUCUGGAAUAUAGAAAGGACCUGUCUGGUCCUAAAAGGAAACUUGCUGAUCAGGCAACCCUACAGAGCUAAUGGCAAUCAGGGCCAGGAUACCACAUCUUAGGGGAAGGUGAAUUGAACUCCCCUUGACGUCUGGAAAGGUUGACUACCGCAUCUAUUUGGAACAAGCUGAGAACCUCUUAGAACUUUUACCUCUUUCUUUGUCAAAUGGCCUCCAUUUCGGUAAAGCCAAAUUUAAAAAGGAGAAGGGCUAUUCAAAAUCUUGGAGGUGAGAUCAUCUGUGCUAUCUUUAGCCGAAUAGGGAGGAGAAGUAUUGCAAACUGUCGGCUAGGUCUAAAAUUACAAGAGAGGAGAAGUCUGGGGACCCUCCCUGGCAUCUAUGGUGAAGGCAGAAGUGUUCAACGUGCAACUACUUAAGAAGAAACUUCCACUAUCGUCCUCUUUCUAUAGCCAGAGAUGAAGGCAGCAUGGUAGAGUCACGUUACCCAGACCACUGAUACCGAGUCCCAGUGACUACAGUGUCUGAGAGUCACCGCCGCCAGUCACAGUAGCUAACGUGUAUAAAGAAUGUCCUUGUCUGACAGGCACGGUGCUGUAGCUUUUUAUCUAAUACUCACAAGUUCCCUGAGUAGGGGGCUCUAAUGCUACCCAAGAAUUGAAAGCCAAGGGACUGUAGUAGUAAGAUUUCAAGUCAAAGCAUGGCAGAGGGCCAUGCUCAGACAGCUGGUCCCUGGGCUUGAAGAUUUGCAGAAGACAGAUGUGACCAGUCUUGGGUCUCUGAGUGUUUUAAACCAAAGGUUAGUAAGACCAGGUGCAGAGGAGAGCUGGCAUUGGCUUCAGGGGACAUUGUACUGGCCUCUUAUAGAUGCAUUUAAAGAAGGUCACACUGGGCAGGCACAAACCUCUUAAACCAACAGUCUCCCCAAACCGUGGCUCAGAGCUUGACACCUGGACCACAAGCUCCCUGCGAGCUGUUAUUUCAUUUGUUUUACAUGGAUGAGAUUUCACAUCAGUGUCUAUGCAACCUGCUGCACCUCAAUUAAGAGGCAGUUCAUAAUC